rnacentral:tRNA from 1 species
GGCACAGUCGUGCAGUGGGUAGCACUGUUGCCUCACAGCAAGAAGGUCCUGGGUUCAAGUCCCAGCCUGGGCCC